rnacentral:lncRNA from 1 species
GUGGUUUUCACAAAGAUAUCAGAAAAAUGAAUCUACAAACACCAGAGGUUUAUGUCCAAAAAGGAGAAAGAGGAGUCCUUUCACAGUAUGCGAAUAAAGGCAGAGGCCAUGGGGCAUUCCCUGUGAGGUCUCUUAAAAUUGUUAGAGGACGCAGCCUCCUUUUUAUCCUAAUUUCCCAGCCACAUUUCCCUUCUCUCUUUCCCCAUUGGCUGAGGUACUUGAGAGGUACAGACUUCCCAAAAUGCUUAAUACUCCCUUCUAAUGUACUCCCUCCCCAUUUUUCUUUUUCCUCGUGUCUCUGUUCUUUCUCUCUAAAUCCAGAGAUGUAGCACAGUCUUGGGUGAGUAACAGUCUGUGUCAAAUAGUGGAAUUCCUAUGUUAUUUAUGGUUCUCCCCACUGCUUCUUUCACCUUUCUGUAUCUAGCCUUAUCUACUACCAUCAGGCACACAGGAUUUUUGUAAUCCCACCUUCUUCUCGUUCCUUUCAUGGAGAAUCCACACAGGGUGAACUGCAGAGAGCUGGGAGGCAGCACAGCCACAGCUGGCAGCCCUGAGGCCACUGUGCAGGGGACCACGGGAGCCACCUUUCCUUGUGUGAGCACUAUGUGUGACUUCAGUGGAUUUGAAGUCACACAUAGUGAGCACACAGGGAAAGGUGGUUCUCCAUGGGCUGCUGCAGGUGAACUUCAACUUCUCUUGCUCUGCCACUGUCAAGCAAAAUGUGCGAGACAGGAAGGAGUUUUUGCUCCUCUGAUCCAGCAGGGACCAAAGAUGCAUGGUAUUGCGAAGGGAUGUGUCCUGCAAGGCCCUGCUCUCCCAUUGGGGGCAGAACAAAGAGGAGGAAAAGAUUUACAUUAAAAGCACUGAGUAAAUCUUUAUUAUGAAACUCACAUCUCUUGCUGUCAGCAGCCUCCAUGCAGAGAAUGUGCAGACUAAAAGUCUUCCUGCCAGCAAGGGGAACAGGAAUACAGUUUGCACUGUGAUAUCUGGUGUUUCUUCAGUGGAUAAGCAAUACAAGAGGUUAAAAAUCACUUUGCAGGCUCCUGUUUGUUAAGGUUAACAUCUCAGUGCUGCACUGAACAAGAAAUAGUGCAGGCAAAUGCUGAAGAAAGGACCUGGAAACCUGGCCCCUGUGGAACAGGCCAUAAUGAAUCUGUGAGACCGGGCUGACUUUAUCAGCAGUGCACCAGCUGGACUGCUUGCAGAAAGCAGAGAACACUGCAGAGAGGUGAACACAGGGGUGAUACAGGCAGGCAGAUGGUGCCGCUCCCAGCUGCAGCAGGGAGUGAGGUAAAGGGGUCCAUUGCCAGGGCCUCUCAGGAUACCAGGCCCUCGAACCAUCCCUAAACAUCGCUGGGCUGUGGAGCAAGGCACUGCUCCCUGCAGAGUGCCCUGUGCUGCCUUCUCCACUGGCUGUGUUUCACAGAAUCAGCAAGUAGUUGGACUUUUUAAAGGUCAUCUAUUCCAAGCCCCCUGCAAUAAACAGGGAUACCUUGCACUAGACA